rnacentral:tRNA from 1 species
GUGGCAGUUGCUCAGUGGUAGAGCUCCCGCUUCGUACGACGCCGGAAGACCUGGGUUCGAUUCCCGGCUGCUUUC